GAUUAGAUACCCUGGUAGUCACGCGUAAACGAUGAGUGCUAGGUGUUGGAUCCUUUCCGGAUUCAGUGCCGCAGCUAACGCAUUAAGCACUCCGCUGGGGAGUACGACCGCAAGGUUGAAACUCAAAGGAAUUGACGGGGGCCCGCACAAGCGGUGGAGCAUGUGGUUUAAUUCGAAGCAACGCGAAGAACCUUACCAGGUCUUGACAUCCCGAUCUAUUUCUAGAGAUAGAAAGUUACUUCGGUAAUCGGUGACAGGUGGUGCAUGGUUGUCGUCAGCUCGUGUCGUGAGAUGUUGGGUUAAGUCCCGCAGCGAGCGCAACCCCUAUUGUUAGUUGCCAUCAUUCAGUUGGGCACUCUAGCGAGACUGCCGGUAAUAAACCGGAGGAAGGUGGGGAUGACGUCAAAUCAUCAUGCCCCUUAUGACCUGGGCUACACACGUGCUACAAUGGUUGGUACAACGAGUUGCGAGUCGGUGACGGCGAGCUAAUCUCUUAAAGCCAAUCUCAGUUCGGAUUGUAGGCUGCAACUCGCCUACAUGAAGUCGGAAUCGCUAGUAAUCGCGGAUCAGCACGCCGCGGUGAAUACGUUCCCGGGCCUUGUACACACCGCCCGUCGCACCACGAGAGUUUGUAACACCCGAAGUCGGUGAGGUAACCUUUUGGAGCCAGCCGCCUAAGGUGGGACAGAUGAUUGGGGUGAAGUCGUAACAAGGUAACCAAGGGCGAAUUCCAG
rnacentral:rRNA from 1 species